rnacentral:rRNA from 1 species
UUAGAGGCAAACGGGUGGACCCGCAAUACGUCGACCCGGGGGAUUCAACCAGGCCGUGCGUUCGGGACGCGUGGGGGUUAUGCGGAGCUGUAAAGCCCGUGCCUCUGCGUAGGUCUCCGGGCGGACUGGUGCACUUUCCCCGGGUUGAUUGCCACGACCGGCUCUCCGUGCGGCCACAAGCCUUUGCUGGGAAGGUGACCGUCGGCAUCCACGCCGGCGGUGUUAUAGACCAGCUUGUUCGUUGAGCUCGUCGGAGGGCCGAGGAAGUGUUGCCGUUUCUCAGCCACCCUCCGGCCAUCCUUGCUCGUCACGACUGGGGUGAACUGCUUCGUCAGUGCUCUCCCGACCGCGAGCGUAGGAAGGGCUGGUACGGUGCGAGAAAGCUUCGGGCCAGUGGCGAAUCGGUCGGUCCUCCACCCGACCCGUCUUGAA